UACGGAGGGUGCAAGCGUUAUCCGGAUUCACUGGGUUUAAAGGGUGCGUAGGUGGGCAGGUAAGUCAGUGGUGAAAUCUCUAAGCUUAACUUAGAAACUGCCGUUGAUACUAUCUGUCUUGAAUGUAGUGGAGGUGAGCGGAAUAUGUCAUGUAGCGGUGAAAUGCUUAGAUAUGACAUAGAACACCCAUUGCGAAGGCAGCUCGCUACACUACGAUUGACACUGAUGCACGAAAGCGUGGGGAUCAAACAGG
rnacentral:rRNA from 1 species